rnacentral:lncRNA from 1 species
CCUUUUCUUGAGACCCAGAGCUCAUUGCUUGUCAGCUCUUUGUUCCUUAUCCACCACCCCUCAAGCUGAGGAACAGACACAGUGUGGGAUGUGAGGGUUGGGAGUGGGCAAAGUGAUAAUGAGUUUGAUUUUGAGAAUGUUGCCAUUGAGGCAGCUGGCACAUCCAGCUAGAGGAUAGUUCUGGAGUUAUCGGGAGAGAUCUGAACUAUUGAUCAAUGAAUGUGGGAAUCUUAUACAUAUUCGUAGUAUAUUUGUUAGGAAUUACAUUUAGUUACUAGAAGAAACUUUCUUGUCAAAGACCAGAAGGAACGGUGGCUUAAACCAGAUGGAAAUGUAUUGUGCUUCACAUUAGUGGGCUGGUGCGUUGGUAUCAUGGUAUUUUUCAGGGACCAAGGAACCGAUCUAUCUUUCUGCCUCACCAUUUUAGUAUGUAUCCUCCACCUUGGAUUUGUCUUAUAAUUGAAUAUCGCUGCUAGAGCACCAGGCAUCAUCUUUGCAUUCCAGACAGAAAGCAGGAAAAAAAGGUGGAAGGUUUUUUAAAAAAGAAAAGUGCUUAUGCCUACAGCUGUCUACCUUCUUUUUAAGUCCUACCUGAUAACUUCUAUGUACACAUUGUAAGGGAAAUGGCUGCACUUUAGUCAGGAAUAGGCUGAGGCAGCCUUCUGGCACAGCAUGAUUCACUGGGUUUGGAGCACAGGUGCACUCUCAAAACACUCUCAUAAAAAACACCUGGGGCUUCCUGCGAGCUGGCCUGGGCUUUCGUUACUGCCUCCCCUGCUCAUGAUGGGUAUUUACAUAUCCUUAGACCCUCAGCUAGAACAAGCUGCACCUGAGAUCAGUCUCCAGUGGCGUUUUGGUCCGGGAAAGGCCCUGACCUGUGGCCACACAUUAUGUAACCAUGCCACGUGAAGUGCAUUAGGUGAUCACUCACAUGAGUCUGUGCCUGGCUUAGAGACACUGUUGUCUACAAAAGGUAUAAUUACCCUGCUAGCGGCUAUACAUAGGGCUUGUGCCCAGAAAGAGGAUAAAGCCAUAUCAAAACUCCCUACGAUUCCUGUAGUGUUUUUCCAGCUACUCCCCCACCGACUCCCCUCGGACCUCAGUUUGGGAUAGAACCUGACAAUUGGUGUCAUGAACAGGAUCCUGAGAUUUAGAAGCAGUGGCGUCCCUCUUGCGGCAACAUUUAGCAGCAUGUGGUUGGGCCGUCAACGAAUCCAAGGUCCAAGGUCCUGGAUUAUCUGCCAGAUUCUUGGGAGUUAUCUGGUCAGAACUGACCCAGAACUAUACUGGAAAGAGAUUCUUGGAAAAGAAGUUCCAGAUGAUUGCCCUAAGUAGACGGAGUGAGGAUGCUGCUGAGUUGAUCAGAGACAAUCCUGCACAUGGACCUAUCUUCAUUCAUUCAACGGGUAGUUAAGGGAGACUUACUAUACACCAGACUCUGCACUUGUGCCAAUCUUAUUUCUCUAAGACUUUUGAGUACAGUUGUGUAUCUUCUAAUUUUUUUCUAUAUUCCAUAGUGCGUGGCACAAUUCUGGGCACACAGCAGAUAGAUGCACACUGAUUGCCCAUUGGCUUAGCUGACCUCAAACAUAGCUAGUCUGCCAUUUUCAAUGGAAGAGUGUAAAAUGAGAAAUAUAAUUUACAUAUCUCUUUCUAUACAUAGUAAUUUAUGUAUAUAUGCUGAGUAGAGCUUAGUAUUACACAGGUAUAAUAAGCUAAUUAAAGACAAUUUGAAAAAGCUAGUUAAAAUUUUAAAAUCACUUUUAAUUUAUCAUUAUUUACCAAAACAGCCU